UUGAAUGUAUGCUGGUAAAUUAUUUAUUUGUACGACGAACGUGCUUCGCAGGUGUGACAUCAUCUUCCCUCCUGCACCAUGAUUUACCUCAUCGGCUGUGACCGGCCCUAGUGGCCGAUAGCCUCUCCAGCAACAACUUGCUAUGCCGCGAUCCUCUUCUCUUAGCCCUCCAGCAAGUCGUCCCCUCCAAUCUCCGCCGUCGGUACCUCCUCUGCGGGUGAUUUAGCCGUAGCUCCUGGUCCUCUCGAGAGGUCCAAGAGAUGACUCCUGGCUGCACUGUAGCAGCACCUGCCUGUCCUGCUAGGGGCCAUGGCCAUCGACAACAAGGAUAUUGACUAUGGCAACCAAGGGAGGAGCUACGCGGGCUAGACUAUAGAUAGAUCUAGUUGUUGUUAGGAUUAAGGAUAUAUAUUAGAUAGUCCGUAUAUUUAGAAAGUAGGUAGAAAUGUUUUCCACUUGUAUAUUUAUUUGUACUAGGCU